AUACGGAGGGUGCAAGCGUUAUUCGGAAUCACUGGGCGUAAAGGACGCGUAGGCGGGUCGGCAAGUCAGAUGUGAAAUCCUACAGCUUAACUGUAGAACUGCAUUUGAAACUGCUAACCUAGAGUAUGGGAGGGGGAGAUGGAAUUAGUGGUGUAGGGGUAAAAUCCGUAGAUAUCACUAGGAAUACCGAAAGCGAAGGCGAUCUCCUGGAACAUAACUGACGCUAAGGCGUGAAAGCGUGGGGAGCAAACAGGAUUAGAUACCCUAGUAGUCC
rnacentral:rRNA from 1 species